GCCAAAAUAGCUCAGUUAGGAGAGUGUUAGACUAAAGAUUUAAAGGUCCCUGGUUCACUCCUGGGUUUUGGCA